rnacentral:rRNA from 1 species
AUGGCAGCCGCCGCCGCAAGCUUCGACGCCUCGCGGGCACAGCAGCUGCCCCUGCCGCCCGGAGAAGUGCACGGGCCCGAGAGCGUCGCCUUCGACGCUCAGGGCCGAGGCCCCUACAGCGGCGUCUCCGACGGCCGCAUCUUGAGGUGGAACGGGCCCAAGCUCGGCUGGACGACAUACGCCUACGGACCAGGCUACGACAGCGAAACGUGCACCACAUCCAGGUUUGGCACCGAGGCGGACAUAGAGAGCCGCUGCGGCCGCCCGCUUGGCCUGCGCUUCAACGAGAAAACGGGCGACCUCUACGUGGCCGAUGCGUACAAAGGGCUUAUGCGUGUGCCGCCCGGCGGCGGGGAGGCCACCGUGUUGGUCGACCAGAUUGAUGGCAUGCCGCUGCGCUUCACCAACGGGGUUGACGUCGAUCAAGUCACCGGUCAAGUCUACUUCACCCACAGCUCGAUGAACUACGACAGGUCAGAACACGAGAUGGUCACCAAGACGGGGGACUCCACGGGCCGCCUUAUGAUGUAUGAUCCACGAACAUCGGACGCCACC